rnacentral:tRNA from 1 species
GCCCAGGUGGUGAAAUCGGUAGACACAAGGGAUUUAAAAUCCCUCGGCCCUAAGGCUGUGCGGGUUCAAGUCCCGCCCUGGGCACCA